rnacentral:ncRNA from 1 species
CAAUCGUCGCAGAGGGUGUGCUAGGGGAAAAGCUAUGGACCCCAGUGUCUCCUGUGCAACCCAAAUGUCACACAUGUUUUUUGGGGUGCCUUUUUUUAACAUGAUAUCAAGUCUGCAUGGCCUUUAUGGGCUGGGCCACACAUGCUACAAUGGCAAUGAGAACGGGAUGCAAGGCUGUAAGGCAGAGCGAAUCCGGAAAGAUUGCCUUAGUUUGGAUUGUUCUCUGCAACUCAGGGACAUGAAGUUGAAAUCGCUAGUAAUCGCGGAUCAGCCUGCCAUGGUGAAUAUG